rfam:Amphiamblys sp. WSBS2006 Amphi_35, whole genome shotgun sequence.
GAUGGGGUGGCCGAGUGGUCUAAGGCGACACGUUAAGGCCGUGUUCUAGUAAUAGGCGCGAGUUCGAAUCUCGCCCUCAUCA